AUGUUUCAACAUCCUGGACGAUGCUUGAGCUAUAUGGGUCAUUAUGAUUUCACAACACAAGAAUACAAGGUGGCAUUCUUGUAUAUUCUGACUAACAUGCCAGAGAUGGAUGAUUUCUUCACUGAAUUUGAUACAAAACAUUGUAGGGGAGAAAGCAUACAAACUGAUGAACAACAGUGUGAACUAAGAUUAAAUGGUUCGAUACUUGGCAACAAGUGCCCUAACUUUUUCAGCUGGUUCAAAUCUCAUUGUCAAACAACUUCAGGUGUUCAUAAUGCAUUGCGUCAAAUGUCAUAUGGGUUUCCGACAAGAGUGAAAACCUAUGGAAUUUAUGAUGUGAAUGGGUAUAGGUUUCGCUCAGAGAUCUAU
rnacentral:rRNA from 1 species